rnacentral:tRNA from 1 species
UCGGGGGUCGUUCAACGGCAGGACAUUGCGCUUUGGACGCAAGAAUGGAGGUUCGACUCCUCCCCCCCGAG